GGAGCCAGGAACCAGCCACCUGUGUUAAUAAUAAAACGGUAUGAUUGCAAAAGUAGAUUUCCCCACCCCUCUUUGAAAACAAUAUGUUCUGAUAACCUUAUCACCCCUUCCUUGAUCUUUGGAAAGCCCUUACUUCCUUUUCUUGGAGUAUAAUUACUGCUAGUAUUGCCCUCAAUAAACGAGACUUGAUCAGAAAGCCUGUCUUGUCUCCAUUCUUCGCGUCUCUUGUCCCCAUCCCCUUUUUUCUCCCUUCAGGCCCUCGUGGUGUCCCGCAGGCCGGGACAGAUGGCGCCCAACGUGGGGCUCGAAGGUUUGUGGAUUUUGGGAAUGGUCUUUUGUCAGAUGUACCUCUGAGAAUUAAGCUGCAGCCUAAACAAUAGUGACAGUGGUCGCCGCGGGAGUGCCCGCCCCGAGGAAUUGAGACCUGAGGUGUAGCUGGUUAAGUCUCCAGACCCAUGAGUUCAAGCCAGAAUUCCAGGCCAGAUAUUGUUGCCAGCCUAGCAAGGAACCCCUGAGAAACCAGAGUAUAGAGAAAAAAUGGAUGGAGAUGGAACAGUAAUAUCCUGUCACAUUCACAUACUGUAACAUGUUCAGCCAUGUCCCUGUUGAUGAACAUCCCUCAAUUUCCAUUUCUUUGCCACCACAAAAAGAGCUUUGAGGCUUCUUUUAAAAGCAGGAUCAAUAGACCUGUAAGAACCAAGGAGAGGCAGCUUAUCUUAAGCUCCUUCCUGGAAAGACCACUUUCCUGGAGACUUCAUGACUAAAGUUCCUAGGUUCAAAGCUGGAAGAUCCUUCCAUUUGAGGAGGGACCACUUGUGUUGGCAUGUACACUUUAAAUCCAGCCCAAUCCAUCACUCCUGGAAGACUUCUCUACCUUGUUCCAUUGAGCUCCAUUAGAGCUUUGAGACCAGAGGGAAGAACUGAUAUUGUGAAUUCACCUAACUGAUUCAUCCCCAGCCACUCCCUAUUUUGAGAGUAAGAGGAGUCAGUCUCCAGGGGACACGUAUGGGCUAGAUGUAGUGAUUGUUUCAUAUUUUGCAAAGGAUCAUGAUUUUCUCUGCACAGAAAUAUCUAAGAUGUACCUACAUGCCUUAAACACAAGCUCCUUCUCCUUCCAUACCCACAUAACACACAAGGAACUUGGCAAAGCUGAUUUAUCAAUAUCUCAGGGCAAAGUGCCCAAAAGCAUGUAGAGCAAGUAGAAGGGCUUAUAUCCAAUUGUUGCAAUGAAUAGCCAUAAAUAAGGGCUUUCCUGCUUGCACCUAAAUUUUUUGAAGAUUUCACUUUCAACUUUAAAAAACAAACUUUGCUUUAUAUCCCUCUAAUGCAUUUUUCAAAUGGUAUAUUCUAUUUUUUUAAAUCUGUGUCCUAUUCCCUUACUGUAUGUAAAUGCAACGAAAGUGAAGACUUUAAGCUAAAAUUUUCAUCUCCCACCAAGCACAAAACUCUGCACACUGUAGGUACUUAAUAAAGAUUUGUUGAAUUUUUGACACCCCCGCCCCAUGGAUCAAUGUAAUCUACAUAACAAAGAUUUUAAAAAUUAUUCUUAAUUUAUGGAAUAAAACAAGAAUUUCCAUAACACAUUACAAUAAAAAA